ACCUCGGAUCAGGUAGGAAUACCCGCUGAACUUAAGCAUAUCAAUAAGCCGGAGGAAA
rnacentral:rRNA from 1 species